AGAGUUUGAUCCUGGCUCAGGACGAACGCUGGCGGCGUGCCUAAUACAUGCAAGUCGAGCGAGCUGAAUUCAAAGAUUCCUUCGGGAUGAUUUGUUGGACGCUAGCGGCGGAUGGGUGAGUAACACGUGGGCAAUCUGCCCUAAAGACUGGGAUACCACUUGGAAACAGGUGCUAAUACCGGAUAACAACAUGAAUCGCAUGAUUCAAGUUUGAAAGGCGGCGUAAGCUGUCACUUUAGGAUGAGCCCGCGGCGCAUUAGCUAGUUGGUGGGGUAAAGGCCUACCAAGGCAAUGAUGCGUAGCCGAGUUGAGAGACUGAUCGGCCACAUUGGGACUGAGACACGGCCCAAACUCCUACGGGAGGCAGCAGUAGGGAAUCUUCCACAAUGGACGCAAGUCUGAUGGAGCAACGCCGCGUGAGUGAAGAAGGUUUUCGGAUCGUAAAGCUCUGUUGUUGGUGAAGAAGGAUAGAGGCAGUAACUGGUCUUUAUUUGACGGUAAUCAACCAGAAAGUCACGGCUAACUACGUGCCAGCAGCCGCGGUAAUACGUAGGUGGCAAGCGUUGUCCGGAUUUAUUGGGCGUAAAGCGAGCGCAGGCGGAAUGAUAAGUCUGAUGUGAAAGCCCACGGCUCAACCGUGGAACUGCAUCGGAAACUGUCAUUCUUGAGUGCAGAAGAGGAGAGUGGAAUUCCAUGUGUAGCGGUGGAAUGCGUAGAUAUAUGGAAGAACACCAGUGGCGAAGGCGGCUCUCUGGUCUGCAACUGACGCUGAGGCUCGAAAGCAUGGGUAGCGAACAGGAUUAGAUACCCUGGUAGUCCAUGCCGUAAACGAUGAGCGCUAGGUGUUGGGGACUUUCCGGUUCUCAGUGCCGCAGCAAACGCAUUAAGCGCUCCGCCUGGGGAGUACGACCGCAAGGUUGAAACUCAAAGGAAUUGACGGGGGCCCGCACAAGCAGUGGAGUAU
rnacentral:rRNA from 1 species